AGGUUCUAUCUGGGCAACUGACUUAACUGCUGUUUGCAGAAGGAACUGGCAAACUAUUCCAGUAUCCUUACCAAGAAGACCCCAAGUACAGUAUUGGCAGGAUAUGGUCCAUAUGGUCUUGAGGGGGCAGACAUGAUGGAACAACAAUAAAAAGAGCAAGACUUCAGGCUCCCAAUAAUCUCCUGGACUUAACUGGGCUCCUCACUUUGUUGAAUGUUCAGUUUCCCAUUAGGAUCACAGAACUGUAUUCCUGAAAAGGACCUCAGAAAUCAUCUAAUCGAAUUUCAUCAUUUUAAAGACUGAAAAUGGGGCCCAGAGGUCUUUCCUGUUGGAAGGUAAAUGAUUACUUGGCGAGUGAAAGAAGGUGCAGAGGACAGAAGACUCCACUCUUAGACACUAGCUGUGUGAUACUGAAAAUACUUAAAAUCUCAGACUCGGUUAUCUCAUCUUUAAAAUGGGGAUAAAAAUAUCAUCUACCUCUCAGAGUUGUUGUGAGAAUAUCAGUAUACUCAAAAUGAAAUAAUAUUUGUAAAGUGUUUUGUAAACUUUGGGGCAAAAAGGAGACACAGCAAGAAGACUCAUCUUCCUGAGUUCAAAUCUGGCCUCAGACAAAUACUAGCUAUUUGACCCUGGACAAGUCUCUUCGCCCUGUUUGCCUCAGCUCUUCAUCUGUAAAAUAAGCUAGAAAAGGACAUGGCAAGUCACGUUAGUAUUUUUGCCAAGAAAACCCCAAUGGAGUUGUGAGAAAUUGCAUACCAGUGAAGCAACUGAAUAGUUGUUAUCAAGUUGUAAAGUAUCAAGCACUCAGUAAAUGUAAGCU
rnacentral:lncRNA from 1 species